GCUCUUCCGCCGCAGCGCGCUCCUGNNNNNNNNACCUGCUUUGACCCCGCAGACUGUCCCUGUCCCCUCUGAACAAAAGGAUGGCUGUUGCACAGCAGCCCUAUGGUUUGGCACAGUUGCUGCAGGUACUUAAAAUGGCUGCCUGAACUUAAACUGGGAGGGUAGCCAUUAGGAGAUAGAAACCUACCUCCCAUAUUUCUUAGGAGUCUUGUGAUUUGGAGACUCCAUUUGUUCUUCAUUCCUCCCUAAAUGGCCAACCACCGUGGGCAAGGGUUCACCUGCCACUCAUAAGCCUAGCCUGAGCUGUGCAGUGGUGCUGCAUACCUUUAAUCCUGGCAGAGGCGGGUGCAUUUCUGAAUAUGAGGCCAGCCUGGCCUACAGAGCAAAUUCCAAAACAGCUAAGGCUACACAGAGAAACCAAACCACUCCAGCCUGAUUGUUUCAAGUACAGACCUUUCCUGAAGGUUCAGGCUUGGGCCUCAACUCCAUACUCAACUCCAUAGGCCCAAAGGCUAAUUCUUGAUAAAGUCAGUUAGGCUUCUGUUUCCUUGCUGGAGACCUGGCCUCUCAGAGUCAAGUAACCUUCCCUCUCCCCUGAGUUGAUUUAUAUAAGCCAGUCCUGCUAGUUCAAUAAUUGAGCUGUUCUCCGAAACAGUAUCCUAGGGUAGAAACAUAGAUUUAGCAGUGAAGAUGACCAGACCAAGUCUGCAGCCACCAAAACAAGAUUACUAGUUCUCAGAAAAAAUUUCCUGCCCUUCCCUGCACUGAAUUCCAAAGAAAACCACAAAGUGCCCUGAUCUUGCCACCAAAAUUCCCUGAGAUACUAAUUAGCUGACCAAUGAAUUUACAAAUAUAUUGCUGCUUUGCUGACCAAUCACAAUAUGACUAUUCAACCCUCCAUAAAAAGAGUAUAAAAAGAGCUGUGCUUGGGCUGGUGAGAUGGCUCAGUGGGUAAGAGUACCCGACUGCUCUUCCAAAGGUCCAGUGUUCAAGUCCCAGCAACCACAUGGUGGCUCACAACCAUCCGUAACAAUGUCUGACGCCCUCUUCUGGAGUGUCUGAAGACAGCUACAGUGUACUUCUUAAAUAAAUAAAUAAAUCUUUAAAAAAAAAAAAAGAGCUGUGCUUUUAGAGCUCGGGGUUGACUCUCCUUGUGAGGCUGAGCAACCCCGAGCGCGCACGCAUGGGAGCAAUAAACAUCUUGCCAUUGCAACAA
ensembl:lincRNA